GGACUAGAGAAGGAAAGAAGGGUUCAGAAUACUCUCAGAGGCAUUGCAGGGGAGCGGGAAGGGCCAUGACCAACUGCCUCUGCCACCACUACUGCCAGCCCUAUGUCCCAGCCUCAAGGAGAAAAAAAAAAAAGAAAAAGAAGGAAACAUACAUCUCCACACCAUUGUAUUCUCACACAAGAAGAGGUCUCCUGUGCUGCCAAUCUGAAGAAAACCGAAGUCUCUCCAGAGAUGAACUCUCUGCCGAAGGUCAUAAAAUAGGAAAAAGAGGUGAAGAACCCAGAUGAAGCCAUUGUGCUGGAUACUGCACCACACUCAACCUUGAGGUCAUCUGGUCCAUCCCUCUGUUGCAUGGCUCCCAGAGCUCAGGGCACACUCUCACCAGCUCAGCUCUCCUAGUAGGAGGCAAAUGGUCCUUUUUCCAUUUCUGAGCAAACCCUGUACAUACAGUGUGACUGCCAUUUCCUCUC